UACGUAGGGCGCGAGCGUUGUCCGGAAUCAUUGGGCGUAAAGAGCUCGUAGGCGGCCGGUUGCGUCUGCUGUGAAAUCCCGGGGCUUAACCCCGGGCGUGCAGUGGAUACGGGCUGGCUGGAGGCAGGCAGGGGAGAAUGGAAUUCCCGGUGUAGCGGUGAGAUGCGCAGAUAUCGGGAGGAACACCGGUGGCGAAGGCGGUUCUCUGGGCCUGUGCUGACGCUGAGGAGCGAAAGCCAGUGGAGCAAACGGG
rnacentral:rRNA from 1 species